AGUCCUAAUCCUCUCUCUGGUCGGUGAAGGCAAAGGUCUGGGGAAGGGCUAUCUCUCCGUCUUCUUGCCACGCUGGCGGAACCGAGACAGGAAGUUGAUUGUUACGAGAUUGAAAUGACUAUAAACACCUUGAGAGGUUCUUGAAGAGGAGAAGAACAUUUAAGCUGUGGAAGAAUGAUAACAGAGAAGGAAAUGAUGGACAAGAAUGGUUUUAACUGUAAGUAUAAGAGCAUACAACUUGUAGUAGUAUUCUUAGUAAUAAAUUGCGUUUUGAUAUAAAUAGAGUUGGUGUCGCUUAGCUUGUUUUGAGUUGUGUUUUGCGUUAAUGAAACGAUGUGUUUCAUUUGUUAGGUAGUAUAGUGCGUAUGUUUUUAGUCUUGCAUUUUGGAAUCCCUUUCAUGCUCUGCGUGUUUAUAAGCAGUGCAUGGCUUGUUUAAUUCUCAAACUUUGAUCAUUUGAAUUCAAUAAGAAAUUGGAGGUUGGGAAUUUCUUAAAAAUUCCCUGUCAAGAUUCACGAAGGAAA